UUGAACUUAAUAUUAACAUUCAGCAGUGGUUCAAAAGCAGUGAGCAAGCCUGAGAGGUACAACAUGAAAGAAAAGGCAAUACUUCACUGACAAUUUCGGAAGGCCAGCUUCCUCAUCCAGUCCACUCCACCCCUGACACCCGUUGCUAGGCAGAGGCUGGCACUAGUUGCAGCUGCAUGGAAGCCAUCAGUGGCAAAACUCAGAUGGCAACAAAUGAAAAAGACUACAGUGAAGAAAUGCAUGCUGCAGUCUAUCACUGCCCGGAUUUUGGUGUAGGCUGUGUGCGCCUGUGCCAAGGCUCACCUAAGGU